CCUACGGGUGGCUGCAGUGAGGAAUAUUGGUCAAUGGCCGGAAGGCUGAACCAGCCAUGCCGCGUGAAGGUCAGUGCCCUAUGGGCGUUAAACUUCUUUUGUGCGGGAGCAAUAAUGGUCACGUGUGGCCAGACGAGAGUACCGUACGAAUAAGCAUCGGCUAACUCCGUGCCAGCAGCCGCGGUAAUACGGGGGAUCCGAGCGUUAUCCGGAUUUAUUGGGUUUAAAGGGAGCGUAGUUGGGUUGUUAAGUCAGUUGUGAAAGUUUGCGGCUCAACGGGAAAAGUGCAAUUGAUACUGGCAGGCUUGAGUACAGUUGAGGUAGGCGGAAUGCGUGGUGUAGCGGUGAAAUGCUUAGAUAUCACGUAGAACACCGAUUGCGAAGGCAGCUUACGAAACUGUGACUGACAUUGAUGCUCGAAAGUGUGGGUAUCAAACAGGAUUAGAUACCCUAGUAGUC
rnacentral:rRNA from 1 species